rnacentral:rRNA from 1 species
UACGGAGGGGGCUAGCGUUGUUCGGAAUUACUGGGCGUAAAGCGCACGUAGGCGGCUUUGUAAGUUAGAGGUGAAAGCCCAGGGCUCAACCCUGGAAUUGCCUUUAAGACUGCAUCGCUUGAAUCAUGGAGAGGUGAGUGGAAUUCCGAGUGUAGAGGUGAAAUUCGUAGAUAUUCGGAAGAACACCAGUGGCGAAGGCGACUCACUGGACAUGUAUUGACGCUG